rnacentral:lncRNA from 1 species
AAAGAUGUUCUCCAUUAUUUUAGCUAUCUGGGGAUUCCUUUCAUUUGUCUAUCAGCACUACCUCGACGAAAAGAAGAUGAAGACUUGCCACAAAAAACCUGUCGAGGAAGAUACACAAACUUAAUGAAACGUAGCUGCCUUGAAGCCAAGGUCACACAAACAAACAUACAAAGUUGUGCACACAAUCAUGCAUAUAUUCUAUAUAUAAAGCUUGUCUGUGUAAUUUCCAUAAUGGCCCCUGCAAAUGGAUGCAUGUCUCUCUGUACAGCUUGAACAUCUAUAUCAGUCAUGUGCAAGUCUCUUAGGCCAAAUAUUCAUUAUUUAAUAAGUAAAUAAAUUUUGUACAAAAAGGUGCCCAAAUUCCAGAUAUUUAGAACAUCUAGUCAAAAACGAAUUGUCUAAUACAAAAAGGGUGAACAAAGCACACGUUUAUUUGUGAUAUUUUCACUUUGUGAGUGUGACUCCUGAUAAAUAUUGACUAGUCAGCCAUAACUUACAAAGAUGUCAAUGCACUCUUCUGCUUUCUAGUUUCAAAACGCACCUAAAAUAUUGUGAAACAAGAACAAACAGCAGGUCAUGUAUACUGAAAAAAAAGAACAAGAUAUAUUUGACAGAUAGGUCCAAACAUCCUUGGGGAAACAAAGCUUUGAACAAAAAGUAAAUGGGCCAGAAACAAUACCAUUUCAUAAAGCUACUUGUCCAAUUGCUGUUGGCUGGUUGCAAAUGUCUUCUCUUGAAAAGAUAGGCGAGACAAAAUCUUCAAUGUUUUAGCUGGCGAGACAAAAUCUUCAAUGUUUUAGCUAACGCCAGCAUAUUCUUGAUGGCAAAAACAUCAAAACUAGCCAUGGAAACCCAAAGUGCGUUCAUAAUCCAAAUAAAUUCAAAAAGAGGAAGAAGUUUUACAAUUGUCAUGCUGAAGAUCACACAAUACUACAACUUGUGCACAUGUUCGUACAUGUCAUACAUGCGUAUGCAUAUGAAGUUUUCUAUUUGUCUAUGCGUAUAAGGUUCAUGUUUCUCCACAUAGUUACAGAAGAAAUGAUGAGUAAAUAUUGGCUAGAAAUAAUGUCCUCCUUCAUUUAACACAUCCCUUGGUCAACAAUAGUGGCAUCUUUGCAUGUAGGAAGACUACACAAACUAAAUUCAUGGAAAAGAGAAGAGAUAUGGUUGUCAUUUACUGUAUGUGGGGCCAAGAACAAUGAAAACUUAGACGGUGACAGAAUCCUAAUCACUGAAUAAAUAGCUAUAGCAUAUCAUCACACCCAUAUCAAAGGAGCCAUCAUUUGGUAGCAUUAGCAACUCAGAAAAUUGAUCAUAAGAUACCUCAUACUUAGAAUCUGUUCAGAACAUCAUUCGUUCCUCCUUGUCCAUCUCCAAGGAGGUUAUUCAACAUCCAUCAUGAUGGCGGAUCAAGAACUACAAGUCAUCGGUGAGUAAACCAGUUCGUUGUGAACGUACUAGUCUUUCAUCUUCAAAAAAGGAAAAAAAAAAUGGUUAUGAUUCUUAAUUAUUCAAUAUACAAAACGAUUGAAAACAAAAUAAACUAUAAACUAAUUUUGUGUUAUUUUUCAUCACUUACCAGUUCAGCAGGGAAAAGAACCAAAUCCAACAGUUCAAGAUGAAAGAAAUUCGGUCAGUAGCAGCCAAACAGAAGAAUCUCACUCAAACAAUUACAAACGGUGGUUCCGGGUGACUAUCUAUACAUUUUUUGUUAUUUCAGGCCAAUCAGUUGCUACAAUUCUCGGCAGAUUAUACUACGACAACGGAGGAAAUAGUAAAUGGCUAGCAACGGUAGUUCAACUUGUUGGCUUUCCUGUCCUACUUCCAUAUUAUCUCUUGUCACUUAAAACACAUGCAACUACUAAUAGAGAUGGAAAAAGAACCUCACCUAGGAACCGUGUAUUGGUUUACGUAGUGCUAGGACUUCUUGUAGGAGCAGAUUGCUAUCUGUACUCCAUCGGACUGCUUUACUUACCCGUUUCUACCUAUUCCCUGAUCUGUGCAUCUCAGUUAGCCUUCAACGCUUUCUUCUCUUUUUUUCUCAACUCACAAAAGCUAACUCCUAUCAUUUUGAAUUCUCUUUUCCUACUAACUAUAUCUUCCAUCCUCCUCGCGUUCAAUAAUGAGGAGUCAAAUGCCACAAAAGUUACAAAAGGAGAGUAUGUCAAAGGUUUCAUAUGCACUGUUGGUGCGUCUGCUGGGUAUGGUCUAGUCUUAUCCCUACAACAGCUAGCCUUCCUUAAAGUUCUAAGGAGGCAAAAUUUCUCAGAAGUUAUGGAUAUGAUAAUCUACGUGAGUCUAGUGGCCAGUUGUGUUAGCGUGGUGGGGCUUUUUGCUAGCAGCGAGUGGAAAACAUUGAGCAGUGAAAUGGAAAACUACAAACCUGGGAAGGUAUCCUACGUUAUGAACCUAGUGUGGACAGCUAUUACCUGGCAGGUAUUCUCCAUUGGUGGCACAGGACUGAUCUUUGAGCUUUCUUCUCUAUUCUCAAAUGCCAUAAGCGUUCUGGGACUCCCCGUGGUUCCCAUCCUGGCUGUCAUCAUUUUCCAUGACAAGAUGAAUGGGUUAAAGGUGAUUUCUAUGAUCCUAGCUAUUUGGGGUUUCACUUCAUAUGUGUACCAACAAUAUCUUGAUGAUAAAAACUUGAAGAAAAGUCAUGGAAUCCCAACAACAGAAUCCCCUGACCCACCAGAAGCAGAAGGUGUAGUCGGCAAUCAAAAUAAGCUGAUAUCCUGAAAGAUGGUGUUCCGCAGAUUACUGACUUCAUCGAGCUGAUUGAGUAAGAUUACUUUACUUAUGGCCUACAGUGAAAAAUAAACAUAAAACAUUUUUGAUGCAACUCAAGUAAAGUCUCAAUUGAUUUUUUUUUUUUUGCAUCAUUGUAACAGGAAAUAGAUUUCAUUUAAAUAAAUAGUGAAUAACGUAACUCUGGUUUAAUUUUGAUUAUGAUUAUCCAAUUUACAUCUUAAUCUCAGUGAAACUGCAUACUAUCAAAGUUCAUUGUUUAAAGCUUGAGUUCAUAGCAGCUUAACAUGAGUAUUACGAAAAUGUAACUCAACUCUGUAUAUAAUGAGAGCGUCUAGGCAGAAUGAUAAAAGCAGACAUUCAUUUAACAAAAACACUUAGCCAUAACUUACAAGGAUUUCAAUGCACCAUUCGGCUUUCUCUAGUUUUACCUGAAAUAUUGUGAAACAAUGACAAACGGAAAUCAAGUCUAAUGAAAAAAGAAGAAAUCUUAAGCAGACAGGUCCAAACAUCCUUAGGGAAAAAGAGUAAUAAAUGACCAGAAAUUAUACCAUUUGGAAGUCUCUAGCAGUUAAAGUGACUUCCUCUGCCAACCAAUAUUUAUGUUGCAAAUGUCUUUUUUUGCAAAGAUUGGUGAGACGUAAUCUCCAUAAAUAUGUUCCUAAUUCACAUGCCUGAUCAUAAGAGAAAGAUAGUCAGACGGAACAAACCAAAGAAAUUAAAGAAGACGAAGUUCUUUCAAAAUAGUCAUCCUGAAGGCCACGCAAUCAUACAACUUGUGUGCAUGAGUGUUACGUUUGUAUUUAUGCGUAUCAGCGUAUGGUUCAUGUGUCUCCACACAGCUUUAAACUACUGAGUAAAUAAUGGCUACACAUCAUUUCCUUCUUGAAUUGACUCAAAUCAUCUCUAGAUCAACAAUAGUGACAUCUUUGGAUGUUAAAAAAAUAAAAAAUUAAAUUCGUAGCUAGAGAAAGAUAUACAAUUUGGCAUUUACUGAAUGUGGGGACCAAUGCAAUGAAAACUUAGACGGUGACCGCUUCCGAAAUCCCUUAAUAUAUAGCUACAGCAUGUCUCACCCAUAUCACAGAAGCAAUCACUUGGUAGCAUUAGUAACCAAGAAGACUGAUAAUAAGAUACCUUAUACUUCGAAUCUGUUCAGAAGACUGUUAGUCCCUCCUUGUCCAUCUCGAAGUAGGCGAUUCCAAUUCCACUAUGAAGGGGAAUCAAGAACUACAAGUCAUUGGUGAGUAAGCAUAAACCAGUUUGUCAAGAACCUACCGGUCUUUUAUCUUCAAAGAAAAGAACGGAAAAGAUUAUUAUGGUAUCUUUAUAAAUCAUUAUAUAUCAAAAUUCUUUAUGAGUGACAACAAAUAAAUCGUAAACUAAUUUCUAACGUUAUUUUCCAUCACUUACCAGUUCAGCAGGAAAAAGAAACAAAUCCAACAGAUCAGGACGAAAGAAAUUGGGUCAGUGGCAGCCAAACAAAAGUAUCUCACUCUAAUACUUACCAACGGUGGCUCCGGAUGGCUUUCUAUACAUUCUUUGUCAUUUCAGGCCAAUCAGCUGCUACAAUUCUGGGCAGGCUAUACUAUGAAAAUGGAGGAAACAGCAAAUGGCUAGCAACAAUAGUUCAGCUUGUAGGCUUUCCUAUUCUACUUCCAUAUUAUCUCUUGUCAGUCAAAACAUAUACAACAACUCAAAGAGAUGACAAAAUAACCUCACUUAGGAACCGUGCAUUGGUUUACAUAGUGCUUGGACUUCUUCUAGGAGCAGCUUGCUACCUAUACUCCAUCGGACUGCUUUACCUACCCGUUUCUACCCUUUCCCUGAUCUGUACAUCACAGUU